rnacentral:lncRNA from 1 species
AUGCAACAAGCUUACUAGGAAAUGGAGGGGGUUUGGGUCUCCAAAAAAAUAAAAAUCUAAGUAGGCGGUCUUUUUUUUUCCCCUCCAUGUAUUAUUCUGAUAAAGGAUAAAAAUACACUUAACCAAAUAGUCACUUAAAUAUUUAGAUUAGGGCAUAAGAGGAGAGUGAAGUCAUUCUAUUAGUGUAGCGGAUAAAAUGUAUUUGAUCUGUGCUAGAUAGAAAUGAUUUGUGCAUGGAAGAAGUGUUGCUGGUGCAGUGCAGAUUUUUUUUAAAGUGCAAUACAUAUUCUCUAUUUCUGCUUCAGUUUACUUAAUUAACAAGAAAUUGCUGAUUCCUUAUAAAAUUGUGCUCCAAAGCAUUUGUUUCAAAUUCAUAGGAACUAGCUUCUGUAUGGGCUUACAACUUGCAAUAGUUGUGUUUGUACCAUGUGUAGCAAAUGAAAGCAACUUGGAUGUAGACGGAUUGUACUACAUUACUUCCAUGACAACAGGAAGCUACAGCUUCAAUUAGUGGUCAAGCCACUAUAGGAGCCAUAGUACAUGAUUGUAAGAAAACAAGAUACUCCGCUGCUUUGCCUUGAGGAGCUUAAAGCUGUAAAAUGAACCGACAAAGUGUGGGCAAGAUUACAGGGUGCUGUAAGCAGCAUGUUGAUUAAAAGUAGGGAUAUGUGAAUGAGAAUAAAAGUGUUUUCUGUUUUUGCUUUAUCAUUUCAGGGGCAGUCAUUCUGUUGACACUCAGGAGUUGCAGAAGAGGACAAGAGGAGGAUGAGAGUGGGGAUGCCUCAAAAAGCAAAUACUGAAAGAGGUGGAGUUGCAUGAACCAGUUUGUCAUUGGAUCUCCAUUGUACUCUCCCAACCUUCUAUAUAAUCCAUGGAUAUGACCUAAAGAAAGCAGACCUUUGGAAUGCUUCCAUACAGGUUACACAAGGUUUUGCAACUUUAUUCACUCCAUGCCUAUGCAGAUCUACUAAAGUUGCCUUUUGAUCCAAGAUGUCAAUAUCUGUGUCCACUGGGUGUUAAAGAUAAACAAAAUUUGCAGAUUGAACCCUGAUACAGGAAGAAAUACUUAGCCCAAGACUUUCCUGUUGCUGCCCAAAAAUUAGUAGAUAAAAGCACCUCCUAAUGUUUUUGUGGUUUCUCCCCUUCAUGUUCCUAUUCCUUUAAUUCUGGGACUAGUAUGAAUUUGGUAGUGUGUUGAUCAGUGCAUUGGCAGUGCUCACGUGUUCUUGCUUGCAGUGGUACCUGCAGUCUCAGGCACAUACCUAAAUGGCAAUGGCAGGAGGAACCCUCACAGCUGUGAUUUCCUAUGCCUCUGAGCCAUCAGUGGCCUCUUAAUAGAAAGGCACAUUUUUGUGGGGUCAAAAACCUGGGCUUAGGACUCUUGUUGCAUAUGAUCAGAUUUAAUAUGUUCUCCCAUUAGACUACAGGCUGCUGUAGAGCUGUGUGGGUGGAGCAGGGCCGUGGGAUCCUGAGAUCAUACCCAGGAUGGUGCAGCAGUAGCUGCAAUUUCCAGUAUGGAAGGCCAAAGAAAAGCUAAGCAGAAGAAAAUUGAAAAAACUUCUCAUAGCUGAUUGAGGCAAAGGGUGCAAACCACAGGAGCCUUCUGUCAUUUCCCUGGGUGGCCCAUUUCUAAUGGGGGGAGGGACGUGGGACAACAAAAGUUAACAGAUAUGGUUUUUGAGUAAGUUUUCUUUUUUUCCCACUUGGCUGGCAAAAACUUCUGAAUAAGGAAAUGUAACUUCCAAAGUAAGUAUUCUACUGAUUGAUUAUUUAUUUUACUUAUUAAUACAGAAUCAGAGCAGAAUGGUCAUGGGUUUUAGAGAUGACCUGUCCAAACAAAGUCUUAGACAUGUGAAUAAGCACAUGCAGAGAAGCUGGAUGAAAGAAAUAUCUUUGAGCAAGUCUGAGGCAGCAAAAAUCAAAGCUAGACUAGUGAAAUAAUAGUUUACAACCUCAGGGAGCUGAUCUUACACUGAGAGAGGAUCGC